rnacentral:rRNA from 1 species
AUUGAACGCUGGCGGCAUGCCUUACACAUGCAAGUCGAACGGUAACAGGCCUUCGGAUGCUGACGAGUGGCGAACGGGUGAGUAAUACAUCGGAACGUGCCUAGUAGUGGGGGAUAACUACCCGAAAGAGUGGCUAAUACCGCAUGAGAUCUACGGAUGAAAGCAGGGGAUCGCAAGACCUUGUGCUACUAGAGCGGCCGAUGGCAGAUUAGGUAGUUGGUGGGAUAAAAGCUUACCAAGCCGACGAUCUGUAGCUGGUCUGAGAGGACGAUCAGCCACACUGGGACUGAGACACGGCCCAGACUCCUACGGGAGGCAGCAGUGGGGAAUUUUGGACAAUGGGCGAAAGCCUGAUCCAGCAAUGCCGCGUGCAGGAUGAAGGCCUUCGGGUUGUAAACUGCUUUUGUACGGAACGAAAAGCCCCGGGUUAAUACCCUGGGGUCAUGACGGUACCGUAAGAAUAAGCACCGGCUAACUACGUGCCAGCCGCCGCUGUAA